GCCUUGUUAGCGCAUUAGUUAGCGCAUCAGUCUCACAAUCUGAAGGUCGUGAGUUCAAUCCUCACACUAGGCA